AUUGUGCAUGAUGAUGGCCUGAGCCACCCAGAAGAGGCCACCUGACACCCAGCAUCCCUGCUCAGGAAGGCAGGAAGGAAGUGAGAACAUCCCCGAGCAAGACCAACAAUUGCUGAAUAAACACAAACACCCUUGAGAAUCACUCCGACAGGUGCUGCCUCUUCACCUGGGGAUUGCAAAGGUGAGAGGGGAGAAAGUGAGAACAUCCCCGAAAAAGACCAACAAUUGCUGGAUAAACACAAACCCCCUUGAGAAUCACACCAACAGGUGCUGGCUCUUCACCUGGGGAUUGCAAAGCCUCACCGCCAUGGACAGUGUGCCCCUCAUCUGUGACUACGGCUCUGGCUUCAGCAAGGUGGGAUUCGCAGGAAUGGAAAGCCCAAUGGGCGUGUUCCCCACUGUCCUCGGGAAACUUCGGCACGAUAACGUAUUGGUGGGGAUGGAAGAGGAAGACUGGUUCAUUGGAGAGGAGGUUCAGAAAAAUCGAGGGAAACUCAUCCUGCAAUAUCCCAUUUCUCGAGCAACGAUGACCAACUGGGACAACAUGGAGAAGAUUUGGCAUCACUCCUUCUACCAGGUGCUCCACGUCGCCCCAGAGCAGCACCCCGUGUUGGUGACGGAGCCGCCUUUGAACCCAACACCCAGCAAACAGAAAGUCACACAGGUGCUGUUUGAGACUUUCAACAUACCUGCCCUGUAUUUAGCUAACCAAGGAGUCCUUUCUCUGUACGCCUCUGGCCAGACCUCUGGCUUGACUGUUGAAUCUGGAGAAGGAAUGACACACUUUGUGCCCAUCGCUGAUGGCUGCCCUUUGCAUCUGUCAACCUUCCAGCUGGACAUAGCGGGCCAGGACCUAACCUUGCACCUCCUGCAACUGUUGAAAGACAAUGGGCAAUUAUUGUUGGGCACAGGGGAUCGAGAGUACAUCCGGGACAUGAAGGAGAAAUGCUGCUAUGUGGCUUUGGACUUUGACAAGGAAAAGAAGAAAACCGAUUCACCUUCCCACCAUCAGAAAUAUCAGCUGCCUGACGGCCAAGAGAUCACCGUUGGGCAGGAGAGCUUCUUCUGCCCCGAGGCGCUCUUCCAGACAAAACUCAUAGGUCCAAGGUUAUUCGGCAGCUUUUCCUCCCAGGCAAGGGACAUGAGGCAUGGACGGCACCACCUAGCCCUCCCAGGGGCUCACAAUAUUGAACAAAAAAUAUCAGGUUGGUGCAAAAAUAAUCGAUUACAUUUGCACCAACCUAGUAAUACAGGGCACACAUCUCUUCAGGGCGGUUCCCGUUAUAUUUGAGUUUAUUCAUGUGGCCAAAUGAUGAGCCAAGAAAGGAGGGAUCAGUGUCAUUUCUCAAAGGCUGCCAGAAGGAGGAUGCUGCCUCGACAGGAAUCUUUUUAUACACUUGAUACCAGAGCGUUACAUAUUAAUAACUGUCAGUAACAGUUGAAUAUAAAUUUUCCUGGAGGAGAGCGGAGAAUUGCUAUGUAUUUCCUCAACCAGGAGCAGCUGAGUCCUGUCGUCUGGCCGGGUGGCUCCCUGCAUUCCCUGGUGGGAGUCCAGCUAAGCUAAGGGAGAGACGCCCCUGGCAUCCACACGAUGGCCAUCCAGAGCAUCACUUCCUGCAGCGCCGACCUCCAGAACGUCCUCUUCGGCCACAUGCUGCUGUCGGGAGGGACGGGCUCCUGCCCCGGCUUGAGAUUCCGGAUGCAGAGAGAAAUAUCUGAGCUGGUAUCCCCUACAGUUCAUGUGAAGGUGGCCACCUGUCCGUAUUCCGUCUAUGGAGCUUGGGUAGGUGGCUCCAUCUUGUGCUCACUCUCCACGUUCAAGGACAUGUGGGUCACCAGCAAGGAGUACAAGGAGAUGGGCUCUUCCAUCGUCAGUAGAAAAAGCUUCUGAUAUAUGGCUUUCAGGUGCCUUCGACACCAACUGCAGGAUGAGCCUUGUUGUGGCUGAAUUGAUCAGAGCUCAGAACCAGCUCAAGGGCAAAGGCACUUCCUCCCCCAGACUUCAAUAAAGAAUGUCAAUAAAG